rnacentral:lncRNA from 1 species
AUCGAUGGUGCUUUUCUAGUUAAGCUACGGGCGAACGUCUUUAUCCCGCAGUUAGGCUGCGAACUUGUGCAGAUGCUCAGGCUUUGGGGGGACGCUCCGGCAUCUGGCGCAGAGGCGCCCGGCGGGGAAAAGUUUGCAGCCCGGGCUUUGGGGCGCGCGGGGGGUAGGAAUUUUCCGGAGAAAAGAGGGGCAUAGAGAGGCGGCACGGGUGGGGAGAGAAAAAAGGAACGUAGGGGGGAGGGGGGGGGAAAAGCAGCUUGCAGGAUGGGAGUUUCUUGCAGAAUUUACAGGACUAAAGAGUUUGGGGAAGUCGCAGAGCCGCAGCGGAAAGGCAGGGGUCUGAGACUACUUUCGAGAGGAGAAACAACGCAAAACGAUCGCUGGACGGCCAGAGCCCUGGUCGAAGAAGCAGACACAGGUUCCCACAGCGUCUGA